AACCCAUGAUGUGGGCAUUGUCUGAGCAUACUAUUAUAUCUAUCCCAUGCUUCAAAAAGAGAUUCUGUAACACUCCUAGAAAGCCUAGAUAAGAAAGUAAGGAU